GUGGUUGUAGCUCAGUGGUAGAGCACUUGCCUGGCACGUAUGAGGCAUUGGGUUCAAUCCUCAGCACCAUA
rnacentral:tRNA from 1 species